rnacentral:tRNA from 1 species
GCCCGAGUGGCGGAACUGGUAGACGCGCUAGGUUCAGGUCCUAGUGGGCUUCGGCCUGUGGAGGUUCAAGUCCUCUCUCGGGCACCA